rnacentral:rRNA from 1 species
GACAUAUUUUAAAGGAACUUGUUUUUUAAUCGAUAAUACCCGUUAAUUUUCACCUUGUUAUAAAGCUUAUAUACCGCCGUAUAAAAAAACUUUACACCCUAUUAUUUAAACCUACUUUAAAAAUUCAGGUCAAGGUGUAGCCCAUAUUAAGAGAUAAAAUUAGUUACUAUAAAAAAAAUUUAUAGAAAAUAUAUAAAUAACAAUAAAAAAGGAUUUAAAUUCAAUUUAUUAAUAAUAAUAACAAAUGAAAAACCAUUAUC